UAAGGCCUGCUCAGCUGGGCUCCCAGCCAGGCGUGACUAUCCUGGGAGCAGGGCUGUGGCCUGCACAACGCCCAGGGCACCCUGCACCCACUAGAGUCUGCAAAAUGGUACAGACUGGGCACCACCCAGAGGUGCUGAGCCCCAGGGAUCUAACCCCCCUCAGACUGGCCUGUAGGGCUCCUGACCCCACCCCCAAGUUUCACCAAGGGGGCACAGAGGGAAGGGAGACAGACACGGCCGGGCAUGUGCCCGCCCACAAACCCCACCACCCGUGAGGGUGCCGGGUAACUGUGACUCCAGAUGUUCAGCAGCUGUCUUGGCCAUUUCCGCCCCUUCUUUGACCCCGCAUCCGCCAGGAAGCGUCCCCUCCUGUCCUCAGGCUCCCAGCCACCCCCCACCCUCCCCGCACCCUAUUUCCUGAGCAGAGGCGGUUGUGCAAACUCAGCUCCCCUCCCGUGGCGGCUGCAGCUUUCUCAAGGCUGGACACCCUCUGUCGGGGGUUCUGAUCCCAGCCCCACCCCUCAGCCUCUGGGACUGGCUUUCUCACUCUCCCUCGGUUCCUUCUUCAAGGUUGGCAGCAUACAUGGGGCCUCCAGGGAGGCUGAGCAGAAGUGGGGGGUGGUGCUUGGCCUCAGUGGGGGAGGGUGGGAGGCCUGCAGAGCCAAGGCCAGAGGUCACAGAACCCAGCAGGCUCUGGGGUGGGAUGCAAGGCUCUGAGGUCGGCCUGGUGGUCCCUGGGGGAGGCCUCCUCCCCCUGAGACCUGAAAACUGGGGACACGGCCCACCUUUACUGAGCACAUGGGGGGCACAAGAGGUCACUGCUGCUGCAGCUGGACAUUUCAGGAAGACAAAUCCUCACCAAUCCGCAUGGGCAGCUCUGCCCACUCUGAUGCCAGGGGGGUUCCCUGUGGGCUCCCUCCUGGGGCAGCUUCCCCCUGCCCCUCGUGCCACCCAGGACCCAGUAAAGAGGCGAGGUGCUUGCAGCACAGUGGGAGCAGCCGCAGAGCCCUUUCCCAGGCGGCCAGUGGCUCCGCGACCCCCUCUUGGUCCUCAGGACUUGACCAAUAAUUGGGCAGCCAAUCCAGGGGGAAGGCCUGGAUUUCAGUGGCUGGAGGGAGUGGGUGCUGGGGGGAGAGUUGCCAGAGUUAGUAAAAAAACACGAGUUCCUGUCGGGGCGCAGUGGAAACGAAUCUGACUGGCAUCCAUGAGGACGCAGGUUCCAUCCCUGGCCUCGCUCAGUGGGUUAAGGGUCCGGUGUUGCUGUGAGCUGUGGUGUGGGUCACAGAUGCAGCUCUGAUCCGGUGUUGCUGUGGCUGCGGUGUAGGGCUACAACACUGAUUCAACCCCUAGCCUGGGAACUUCCAAAUGCCACAGGUGCGGCCCUAAAAAGACAAAAAGAAAAAAAAAUCCUAAAAACAACAAAACGAAAAAAAUCUCCCAACAAACCUACAAACAGGAUAUCCAGUUAGAGCUGAACUUCAGAUAAGUAAUAUUUCAGCAUGAGUGUGUCUCAUGCAACACUUAGGACAUACUUCCACUCAAGAAGUAUUGGUUGUUUAUUCGAAAUUCAGAUUUAACUGGCAGUUCUGGAUCUUACCUGGGACUGGCGGAGGGGGAUAUUCCAGCCCUCAGCUCACUCACUCGGCCCAUGGACCCCUCCCGCCCAGCAACCGCUGAGGCCAGCAACAGCUCUCCCCUCUGCUCCCCACGCCUGGUGGGGUUGACAGGGCCAGCAGAGUCCCCGACUCAGCUGAACAGGCAGGGUGCCUGGGCAGAGAGGACAGGCUGGGGCCUGGAGGCCCUCCCCAAGGGCUGGAGCCUCUGAGGCAGGCCUCGGGCUCCGGAGGUCUGCCUGGGUUGGCCAGGUCCAGGCAACUGCUCAGUGAGCCCCUAGAGCCCAGCUGGUCCAGGCUCCCUGCAUGACUACCUGGCCCCCUCUGCCCUCAGGUGGGCUGGCUGGCCCGCUUAGGUCCUAGAAAAAAAGGGGAACCCACCAGAACCCUCCAGAAAAGAGGAAGGCACAACUUGCAGGGCGGUUUGAGGGGGCCGAAAAUGAGGAACACUGGCCAGGCAGGACCCACCUGGAGAAGGUCACCGCCUCUGCUGGCGCGGUAGAAAGAGGACCCAGGGCAGGCGGGGGGGUUUCCAGCCUGCUCGCACCCCUUUCCUGGGAAGGAAGGUGCGGAGGGCAGGGCACAGACAGAG
ensembl:lncRNA